GUGUCAGCAGCCGCGGUAAUACGGAGGGUGCAAGCGUUAAUCGGAAUUACUGGGCGUAAAGCGAGUGUAGGCGGCCGUGUAAGUCGGAUGUGAAAGCCCUGGGCUUAACCUGGGAAUGGCAUCCGAUACUGCACGGCUCGAGUCUGACAGAGGGAUGUGGAAUUCCGGGUGUAGCGGUGAAAUGCGUAGAUAUCCGGAGGAACACCAGUGGCGAAGGCGGCAUCCUGGGUCAAGACUGACGCUGAGGCUCGAAAGCGUGGGGAGCAAACAGGAUUAGAAACCCCCGUAGUCC
rnacentral:rRNA from 1 species